CCGGAGGUAGAGCACUGGAUAGGCGAUGGGCCCCACCGGGUUACUGACCUUAGCCAAACUCCGAAUGCCGGUACGUGAGAGCGUAGCAGUGAGACUGUGGGGGAUAAGCUUCAUAGUCGAGAGGGAAACAGCCCAGAACAUCAGCUAAGGCCCCUAAGCGUGUGCUAAGUGGAAAAGGAUGUGGAGUUGCUGAGACAACCAGGAGGUUGGCUUAGAAGCAGCCACCCUUGAAAGAGUGCGUAAUAGCUCACUGGUCAAGUGAUUCUGCGCCGACAAUUUAGCGGGGCUCAAGUUAUCCGCCGAAGCUAUGGCAUUCAUGCACAUAACCGUAAGGUUGCAUGGAUGGGUAGGGGAGCGUCGUGUACACAGUGAAGCGGCGGGGUAACCCAGCCGUGGAGAGCACACGAGUGAGAAUGCAGGCAUGAGUAGCGAAAGACGGGUGAGAAACCCGUCCGCCGAAUGACCAAGGGUUCCAGGGCCAGGUUAAUCCGCCCUGGGUUAGUCGGGACCUAAGGCGAGGCCGACAGGCGUAGUCGAUGGACAUCGGGUUGAUAUUCCCGAACCGAUCGUAGGAGGACCCAUACCGAGGCGGCUGAUGCUAACCACCCGAGCUUUCCCCUCGCCCUUCGGGGUGGGGAGGUUGGUGAGGCUGGGAACCAAGGUUGUAGUAGGUCAGCGCGUGGGAUGACGCAGAGAGGUAGCUUCCGCGGACUUAAUGGAAUAGUCCGUCUAAGCGUGCAGCCCGGCCCCGGGUAAUGCUGGGGCCUUGUGGGUGAGACGUGAUGGGGAUCCCGUAUGGGCGUAGGUGAGUGAUCCUGUACUGCCAAGAAAAGUUCCGGCGUGACGAAUACGGUCGCCCGUACCCUAAACCGACUCAGGUGAUCAGGUAGAGAAUACCGAGGCGUUCGAGAGAAUCGUGGUUAAGGAACUCGGCAAAAUGCCCCCGUAACUUCGGGAGAAGGGGGGCCCGAACCGUGAGAGCGGUGAGGGCCGCAGAGACCAGGGAGAAGCGACUGUUUACUAAAAACACAGGUCCGUGCGAAGUCGUAAGACGCUGUAUACGGACUGACGCCUGCCCGGUGCUGGAAGGUUAAGAGGACCGGUUAGAGCUCUUCGGAGUUCGAAGCUGAGAAUUUAAGCCCCAGUAAACGGCGGUGGUAACUAUAACCAUCCUAAGGUAGCGAAAUUCCUUGUCGGGUAAGUUCCGACCUGCACGAAUGGCGUAACGACUUCUCCACUGUCUCAACCGCGAACUCGGCGAAAUUGCAUUACGAGUAAAGAUGCUCGUUACGCGCAGCAGGACGGAAAGACCCCGGGACCUUUACUAUAGUUUGGUAUUGGUGUUCGGUACGGCUUGUGUAGGAUAGGUGGGAGACUGGGAAGCAUUCACGCCAGUGAGUGUGGAGUCAUUGUUGAAAUACCACUCUGGUCGUUCUGGAUUCCUAACCUCGGUCCGUGAUCCGGAUCAGGGACAGUGUCUGAUGGGUAGUUUAACUGGGGCGGUUGCCUCCUAAAGAGUAACGGAGGCGCUCAAAGGUUCCCUCAGCCUGGUUGGCAAUCAGGUGUUGAGUGUAAGUGCACAAGGGAGCUUGACUGCGAGACUGACAAGUCGGGCAGGUGCG
rnacentral:rRNA from 1 species